AGCGAGGGUCGACUGUCCGUCUGUCGCAGUCGGGUGGUGUGCUUGCUUCCAAGUCUGGAGUUGGCUGGUUCAAGCUCGUUCUACUGAGCGUUUCUUGCAUUUUAAAAAUGCUUAAACCGCUGGCAACUUUCUUCUACCCAGCACAUUCUCUCAUGGAAUGGCAGAGCAAGACCAACUUUACCCGCCUCUCCUCCGUGUCUCCCAUACGACAUGAGGACGUAAAUCAAGAUCUGGAUUUUCAUCUGGUAUUGGAUUCCUUCUGCCCGGAAGACUCCUUUGACGUUUCUGUAGUGUGGGUCAGCUGGUAGUGAAUUCGGUCAGCUUAUGAACUCAAAAGAGGUGUAGGAGGAGAGAAGCUCAAUUAUCACCCUGGUCUCCUGGAGUAUCCCAGGCACAGUCCCAGGAGUUCAGCUUUUCAUACUCGAGUUCCUGGGUCCUGAAGGCCUUUUUGGGGAAAGUACUGAUGUUCGUGUCAAGGUUGGGAAGAAAGGGUUUGGGAGGAACCAAGCAACAGGGAGGCAAAGAGAAGACAUCAACAAGCGAGGCAAGAACUUUCCACAGGCUCACACUGGAUACAGGACCAGAGACAAGAAGCUGGCGAAGCCUAUAUGGGUUCCCGAUGUCACAUCGCAGCUACCGCAUUGGAGGGUUAAGAGCCGCUGACAAAUCUCUUUCGGGAAGGGAAGAAGAGUUCCAAACAAAAGAUCUACUACCCUGAGAAGCGGUGAAGUGCUCCUGGGGCCCACCAAGGCCACACAAGUCAAGGAGUGGAUGGCCUUGCCCCAGCUAUGGCUCAGAUCACCUUUGCAGGAUGACAUCUUGUUGGGAGAUGGUCAUCAGAGACAGGGCCAUGGAAGACGCUGUCAGGAGGAGGCACAGAGGAAAGGCUAUGGGAGCACAAAGCAAGAAAGUGGCCUUCUGCAAGCCAGGAAGAGAGGCCUCCCCAGAAACCAACUCUACCAGCACAUCGAUCUUGGACUUUUGGCCUCUAGAACAUUGAGAAAAUAAAAGUCUGCUGUUAAACCA
rnacentral:lncRNA from 1 species